rnacentral:rRNA from 1 species
GGGUCUCACUGUCUCCUUUUUCUAAUCAGUGAAACUGAUCUCCCCGUGAAGAAGCGGGGAUAAAAAUAUAAGACGAGAAGACCCCAUGGAGCUUUAAACCCAAUAGACACCUCUGACUAAUCUAACCCAAAACACUUCUUAAGUUCUGUCUAUUGGUUUUAGGUUGGGGUGACCACGGAGUACAAUAAAUCCUCCAUGACGUACGGGACUUCCCUCUUAUCCUUGAACCACAUUUCUAAGAAUCAACAAAUUGACGUUUGAUGAUCCAAUAUAUUGAUCAACGGACCAAGUUACCCUGGGGAUAACAGCGCAAUCCAUUUUAAGAGCCCCUAUCGCCAAAUGGGUUUACGACCUCGAUGUUGGAUCAGGGUAUCCUAGUGGUGCAGCCGCUACUAAUGGUU